UUCUUAAUUUUAUUUCUAAUCGAUUUUGUUUCUAAUUUAUGUUCUCAUGAAGGAACUUCUCAUUAAGCAUUCAGGUUUCAGCUCCAUUCUUUUCGUGAUAUUAAGCCAGCCAUCAGUUCUAAAAUUGAUCACGAUUUAGAGUUUCUAAAGGAGGUCAGGAAUUCAAUCUGAGUUAUGUCACGAGAAUCAUGGUGUUUGAUAAUUUCCCUCAAUGAGAGUUUUGUUGAGGAAUUCACUGACGUUCCAUAAAUCACACACAGUGUUUGCUAGCUUCGGUUCCUUGACCAUCUAAAAAAGCUUCAAAGAAGAACGUGGAAUAUUUGGGUUGUUUUCGGGAUCCACUAGAUAUAAUUACUUAAUGGUUAUAACAAAAUACUGAAACAUCGCGUUAUCCUAAUCAUCAGGUUGUAUGCUUUCAUGCAUUGGAGAAACAAAAAGAGGUCAUGUUCUCUCUAGAACUGUAAGUUUUUUUUUGGGUCUCCAAGCCGGUGCUUAAUGUUUCAGCUCAAAUUUCAUGGUUUCCGGAUUACUCAAUCGGGUUCCGAUGACGAAUCGUCAAAAAACCAAGCCGAGGGGUGACCGGGUCGUGUACACUUGCCGAGUUGAUGUCGAAUCUGCAAAGUGGUAAGUCUCUUUUAGACCUAUUUAUUCAUUUUGUAUGGUUCUUGGAAUUCGGUCAUGGGUUCAUGCUUUUUAGUUAUGAAUCCUCAUUUCAUGUUUAUGAUAAUAUUGAAACUGUAGGGUGAAAUUGGUCAUGGACCAGUUUACUUAUGGAAACACAAUUCCUCAAAGUUAUAUUGUAUAUGGAUUGGGUCAAAGAAGUUCAUUUGUAUUUUUUAAUGUGUUUUUCUCACUUUGUUUUUUUUUUUCAGUGUUGCUUCAUGCUGAGUUAUGAGGCAUUCGUUUUGCGAGUGUUGAAUUUUGCUAUAGAUUAGCGGUUACAUGUUUCAUACAGAAAAUGGUUCACGUUUGCUAAGUAAUUAACUGCCAACAGGUUUUAUACCAAUGUUAGGAAGGUAGGUACUCUUCACAUGAAUGAGUUAUAAAAUAACUUAUUUUUUAACGGUUUGGUUUAGGCCAUAAAAGGUGGGUACUUUUCAAAUGAUCGUCCAUUUUCUGUUUCGGGAGUGAAAGCGUUAGUUGAAGCUUGGAACAUGAAGGGAGUCUUUGCUGAGGAAACAAAUUAAGAAAGAAGCUGUGUUAUAUCCCACCCUUAUGCUUUCUCUUAUCGCAAUUGGAGAUGGCACUUUCUUUUUGGGACUUAUUGGUUCCAGUUCUUAAUGGUUUUUACUGAUCAUAUAAAAAUCUAAUAUUGAUAAUAAUGUGUGGUACUAAAUGAUCUUUUUUGUGGUUAUACAAAUUUUUUGUUCUUUAUCUUUUCUUACAAUAGUUUGGCCUAACUUUUUCUUUAUUUCCUUUUCCUUUUUGGGAAUUAGGUAGGUUACCACAUCAUAAUGUUGUGUACUGUAAUAACUUGGUACUUGAAAGUAUGUGUCUUUAAUCACUAAUAUGGUGCAGACAUGCAAUUUGUGAUUACCAUGUUAUCUACUUAUCUCUAAGCAUCAUGUGUGCCUUUGUACCUGGUGAAAAUCUUGGCUUUCAACCGCUACAUGUGUAGUAUUAUGUUUAUUUGAUGCUAUUUUGCUUCUCUUAUGGAAAUCUAACUAACACUUUUCAUUAUUCCCUUUGUUAUUCCAGAGCGCAGAUACAUGUUGGUUCAAGAAAUUUAAACUUGCUCAGCAGCAGAAGUCACACUGUUACUCCAUCAAGCAAUUAUACAUUAAAAUUUGCCUACCAUUGCAAAAUACAUUGAAAUUUAGGCUGCUCAAAGCAAGGCAUUCUCAUUAAUUUUGUCUGCACUAAAUACAUAAUAGUAAGUGUUCCCAAACAAUCAAUGGAAAUAAUCUUAUGUUUUUUGUAGAUUAUUUUUUUUAUAUAUUAAAGAAUGGUGCUUUUGUUUGUAAUA